rnacentral:rRNA from 1 species
UUGCACGCUGGCGGCAGGCCUAACACAUGCCAGUCGAGCGGAUGAAGGGAGCUUGCUCCUGGAUUCAGCGGCGGACGGGUGAGUAAUGCCUAGGAAUCUGCCUGGUAGUGGGGGAUAACGUCCGGAAACGGGCGCUAAUACCGCAUACGUCCUGAGGGAGAAAGUGGGGGAUCUUCGGACCUCACGCUAUCAGAUGAGCCUAGGUCGGAUUAGCUAGUUGGUGGGGUAAAGGCCUACCAAGGCGACGAUCCGUAACUGGUCUGAGAGGAUGAUCAGUCACACUGGAACUGAGACACGGUCCAGACUCCUACGGGAGGCAGCAGUGGGGAAUAUUGGACAAUGGGCGAAAGCCUGAUCCAGCCAUGCCGCGUGUGUGAAGAAGGUCUUCGGAUUGUAAAGCACUUUAAGUUGGGAGGAAGGGCAGUAAGUUAAUACCUUGCUGUUUUGACGUUACCAACAGAAUAAGCACCGGCUAACUUCGUG